rnacentral:rRNA from 1 species
GACAGAGGGUGCAAACGUUGUUCGGAAUUACUGGGCGUAAAGCGCGUGUAGGCGGCCAACUAAGUCGGGCGUGAAAUCCCACGGCUCAACCGUGGAAGUGCACUCGAAACUGGAUGGCUAGAGUCCUGGAGAGGAAGGUGGAAUGCUUGGUGUAGAGGUGAAAUUCGUAGAUAUCAAGCGGAACACCGGUGGCGAAGGCGGCCUUCUGGACAGUAACUGACGCUGAGACGCGAAAGCGUGGGGGAGCAAACAGG